rnacentral:lncRNA from 1 species
CAAACCACUCACUCAUUCCCUCCAACUCAAUCCACCAGCCUUCCCCCAAAUCCCACGACGCAGCCGGAGUCAUCUCACCUCCUCAACCGCUUGCUCGCUGCACCACGUCUGCUGCACCAGGUACUUCCCCAAACCCUAGACUGACACCGCACACUACGCCGGACCACCUCCUCUGUGCCGCUGCAUACCUCGCCGAACCACCUCUUACGCCGGACGACCAGCAAUUGCAGGAAGCAGUCCUUGAAGAGUUGAAGCUCAGAAGAAUGCCAAAAUUGAGGUAGUGAAAGACACACCUGACGAGAUUUUGUACGGUGAAGCCUUACCCAAAAGAGAUGAAAUGUGACGUUGAGGUACAGACACGACAACGGCCACUCUAACAUGGGCUUUAGCUUUACUAGUCAACCACCCUGUGGUCUUAAAAAUAGCCCAACAGAAGCUUGAAAACCCUAACUAGGAUCUCUUAACCCUAAUCCCUAAAUCAUAACCCUUAAACCUUAAAUAUAUUAGGGUUUGGCUUUUAGGGUUUAGCUUUAGGGUUUAGGGUUUAGCUUUAGGUUUAACCUUUAGGGUUUAGCUUUUAGGGUUUAUAGUUUAGAUUUUACGGUUUAGCUUAGGUUUUAGCCUUAUUUUUUAGCUUUAGGGUUUAGAGUUUAGGAGUUAGAAUUUAGGGUUUAGGGUUAAGAGAUCCUAGUUAGGGUUAGACGAGCGAUAAAUCAUAUAAGUCAUAACAUUAAAGAGUCUUCUGAAAAGAAAAUAAACGGCGUUUUGAUUAUUUAGAUUGAGUUCUUUUAACGUAAACUAAUAGGUGAAACUCACGCGUUGAGGCGAGGAUAUUAGAGUACGUAAGCCUUUGUUUUGACAACUAAACAAAAUAAAAUACAAUGGUUUUAUUACACAAAAGUUUUAUGUUGUAACUCAAAAAAUAAAGUCAUAUUUUAUAUCGAUCGAAGAUCAUAAAAACCAUUAAUGAUACUGAUACCGGUAACACGGAUACUGGUAACGAUGUUGUUCGGUCAAUACCAACUCGGUUCAUCAUCGUACCUCUAUUUCAUAUACAUGUCCAAUUUCAACAAAACUUAUAUCCGAAUGUCAAGAAAAUAUAUUUAGGCAACGACGCAUUUAGUGGGGAUUAAAAUUUGUAAGGCUUGGUUUCGAA